rnacentral:lncRNA from 1 species
ACAAAAUCUCAGAAUUCCGAUGACGAAAGUGAGGAAGAUUGUACAAUUAGAUCGUGACAGACGAAAUUAGCAAUUACGGCUACCGUUACCGAGAUAACUUGCGGAAUUUGAAGUUCUUGAGACUUAUGUCACGUCGUGUUCUUUGGUGAAGACAUGACGGUUCAUCGGUUGGGUUCAGGCAGGGCCAUCAAUUUGGUAUUAGAGCAAAGGUCACCCACCAAGAACGAAUCAAGAAGGAUAACAUGAUUAGGAAAAUUGCAUAAAUUGCGAAUAUGAAGAAGACAGGCGAAACGGAAUUCGAACGGGUGUUAAUCAAACGGAGAAGAAGCAUAGGAAACAUCGCAGAGGGGACCAGCGACAAGAAAUAAGAAUGAAGAAGAAUUUGAACCGCCGAUUGCAAAAGGUUUGAGCAUUCGCUUGAGGCCGGCGGCAGAAAAAUCACAAAGUGAUUGGAGGAGAGAACCGGCAAGGAAGAAAUAGAAUGAUGCGUUUGUGAAUCAAAAGUUUGACCAAAAUUCAAAACUAAAGAAAGGUGUUUAAAUAGUAUUC